UUUUCGAAGUAAAAACGGUGGAAAUCUAUCCCUUCUACCAGGUUACCAAGAGCUUCCGGCUCAAAUGUGGUCAGUCCAGGAUCACAGAUUUUCCUGUAAAACCACAGAGUGAGUUAGACACGAAAAAAACAGCAGUCGGCUCAUAAUAUGUGGGAAAUGAAGGAACUAGCCAUUUGUGUCAUGUAUCCACAUUCUUUCUUGAAGUCGAGACCAACAUCUCCAAGUUUUCCUAACAAGCCUUAUAAUUACUCAAGGUAAUUUGUUUUGUCACAGCCCUCCCCGAGGACCAGGAGAUGAGGGCCGCUGCACAUGCUCACCACUUAUUCGAUGCUUGAAAAAUAGUAGACUCAGCAAACUCCACUCAUUUUGCUGUGUGUAUGGAGCCCCCAGGGGAAGUUUUAAAAUGUCUAUUUACAGCGUUGGCCUUAUUUUGGUUUUAGCUCUUACAUUUAUUUCAGUGCCUAGAGAACAAACUGAGUCAGCAGGUCUUAAAUACAUGCCUCACUCAUUGUACAUGAUGUAUUAAUCGUACAGCGUAGGUUUGAGAAGGUUUGGGUUGCUUUCUCAGCCCAUGCCAUGCUCAUGACAUGCUGGGCACACAGCAUGCACAAGGUUACAUAACACUACAUGCAGCAUCUCCAGGAGGCACCAAGCUAAGGACCUCCUAUACACUGUCAUCAUUCUUGUAACCAUGCUACAAAAUAGCUGUCCCACAUUCCAUCUUAUUUACCCACACAGAGCCUAAUGUGUACCAGUGGCAUCCAACUUUCAAGUCCUUCUGCAGAACUAUAAAUUCCCUCGUUCGGUAUGGAGCUGUUUUACAAAGGCUAGAGGGCCAUGUUGGAUCUCUGUGGCACAUAUCUACACUAAAAUGAUAUCCGGUACAUGGUGAUACUGUAUGUAUUUGUGGCACAAAAGAGUCUGGCUAGUUCCAUACAUCCACAGAUCACCAAUCAUUCCUGCACAUACAUUUUAGCUCCCAUUUCUCUUUACUAUAAUAAAAUGUAAUCUUGUU